CGCUGGCGGCGUGCCUAAUACAUGCAAGUCGAACGGUCUUUUCUAUGGAAGCUUGCUUCCGCUGAGAAGAUAGUGGCGAACGGGUGAGUAACACGUGGGUAACCUGCCCAUAAGAGGGGGGAUAACAUCCGGAAACGGGUGCUAAUACCGCAUAGUUUUCUUGAUCGCAUGAUCGGGAAAGAAAAGACGGCCUUUGUGCUGUCGCUUAUGGAUGGACCCGCGGCGUAUUAGUUAGUUGGUGAGGUAACGGCUCACCAAGACGAUGAUACGUAGCCGACCUGAGAGGGUGAUCGGCCACAUUGGGACUGAGACACGGCCCAAACUCCUACGGGAGGCAGCAGUAGGGAAUCUUCCGCAAUGGACGAAAGUCUGACGGAGCAACGCCGCGUGAGUGAAGAAAGGUUUUCGGAUCGUAAAACUCUGUUGUCAGAGAAGAACAAGUUGGAGAGUAACUGCUCCAGCCUUGACGGUACCUGACCAGAAAGCCACGGCCAACUACGUGCCAGCAGCAGC
rnacentral:rRNA from 1 species